rnacentral:tRNA from 1 species
AGUAAGGUGCCUGAAUUUUGAAAGGAUAAUCUUGAUGGGGUUAAUUGUGAAAUAAUUUCUCUUACUU